rnacentral:misc_RNA from 1 species
UCUAGACUUUGAUAUUGUUUUAAGUUCACCAUUGCCAAAUCUUAUAGAGGUGUUAGCUAACUUUUGAUGCACUAAGAAAUAGCCUUUUUUUUUAAUAGCAAAAUAUGUAGAAAAUUUUAAUUGGUUAUAUAAAAUAUUUGGAUGAAAGUCCAUAGAAACCUAGCUACUUAAACCUUAUUAAAAUAACAUGAAAGUUGGGGGAUUUUACUAAUACAUAUUGAAUUGAGCAAACCAUAUUGAAAUGAGUGAUAAGUUCAAUGACUAUAGGUGAAAUUAAGCCCAAAGGGAUCCCAAAAAAUUGAAAACCAUCACUAUCUCCCAAUCUUGGAGUUUUCUUCUAAAAGAAACACAACUCAGCUUCAUUACCAUUAACAUGGACAGCACCAGAAAUUGAUUCUUGGAAAGGCAAUUUCUAUAACGUGGAUUAUGGCAAAAACAAAUUGGUGACCCAUCAUCCCACUUUAAAAGAAUGUGAGCAAAACAAAAUCCCAUUUCUUCCUAAGAUGCGACCAUGGCCCCAAACCAUGAGGCUUUCUAUUAGACAUAGAAAAGUAGGAAUCCACCAAAUUCUGUAUUUUCCUUCCAUCAACAUCCUCCAAUAAUUUGCUUCUCCACAUAAACUUCAACAAGCAUUCACCAAAUAAAGCUUUACUGAAUAUCCAAAGAAUUUUGAUAAUUUUUUUUUUAAUAGGAUACAAUAUAAUAUCCAGGUGCAAUACGACCUAAUGUGCAAACAUUUAGUGAGGUAAAACAGAAUAAGCGCUUAUAAAUUAGCUCAAUUUUGUACUGGAUGAAAAACUAAUCUACUCCAGUGAUGGAUUUUGAUCUCAUACACAUAAAUUCAAUCCAACAGGGCAGGACAGUAUCCACAAAUAUACUGUUUGAUCCUUCAGUUAACAGUGUCCACACCAGAUGCUCAUCACAUGCAACUUUAUACUCUCUAUUUUGAUACGUGACAAGGGAACUUUUGCUCUAAGUGAAAGAUGCCAGAUCAAGAAAAAAUUUAGAGAGUGGCAUGAUCUCUAAACUUGAAAAGGACUCAGCAAUAGUAGUGAUAUAAGACAUCUAGCAAACCAAAAAUACACACCCCACUAGGAGUGUAAACCUUAAAUAGGAUCUCAAAAUCAAAAAAAAAAAAUUGUCGUGAUUUCCUUUCAUAACAUCAAUCCUGGAAAUGACAAGAGAAGUUCUCUUGUCUCAUACUUUCAGAUAUAAACUGUUGCAUUGUCCAAACAAUUCGCUGCAAAGAGUUUACUGAUUCCAUUAGUCGAAGUUUAAUAUAUAAUAAGUUAAUAAAGUAACGCUAUGAAAAACACUCUGUGAACAUUGUACUAAAUUCACUAUGUUACAAAGUUAUCCAUCGUAAGCAAUAUUAACCAAAAUUUAAAUUAAUACUUCAUAAUGGACACACUAAAAGCUUCCAAUUUCAAAAAUGUAAAUAAUUAACACGU